rnacentral:rRNA from 1 species
UACAGAGGGUGCAAGCGUUAAUCGGAAUUACUGGGCGUAAAGGGCGCGUAGGUGGUUUAUUAAGUCAGAUGUGAAAUACCUGGGCUUAACCUGGGAAUUGCAUUUGAAACUAAUUGGCUAGAGUAUGGGAGAGGGAAGUGGAAUUUCCGGUGUAGCGGUGAAAUGCGUAGAUAUCGGAAGGAACACCAGUGGCGAAGGCGACUUCCUGGCCCGUUACUGACACUGAGGCGAGAAAGCGUGGGGAGCGAACAGG